ensembl:snRNA U6 U6 spliceosomal RNA
GUUCGCUUCGGCAGUACAUGUACUAAGAUUGGAACGAUACAGAGAAGAUUAGCAUGGCCCCCGCACAAAGAUGACAUGCAAAUUCGUGAAGAAUUCCAUAGUUUA